AGAGAAGAAAGCAUGUUACACCUUGACUUACAUAAUUAAAAAAAAUGGUGAACUCAGGUGGCUUGAAUUUAAAUGUCAAGAAAUAUACAAAAUAAUGCAACAAUAUUGUGAUAUGUACUAUGUGACAUGAAUUUCAAUAGCAUCCCAAGUGUGACUUAUUCUAAGUCGGGCAUUCAUAUGGGGAUUGUUUGUCUCUGCAUGAAAAAAGGAACUCACUGAUUAGCAUACUGUUUGAUUAUUGGAGUCUUGAGUAUUCAGCCAAACAUCCUUAUUUGUGUUUUUGCCCCUCUAUGUGUGUGUGUGUGUGUGUGUGUGUGUGUGUGUGUUUGUGUUUUGACCUCUUUCACAUAGAGAGACCCCCAGUUGUGCUCUAGUAGCCAGCCGAGCUCAGUGAAGCAGAGCCUAUAUGCUCACUGGCAUUUCACACACCCAAACGCGUGCAUGUAAACACACAUGAUCAUCAUUUAUCCAGCUGGGGUCCCAUGCGACACACAGACACACACACACACACACACACACACACACACACACACACACACACACACACACACACAGAUGCACACAGACAUCAGCUUGCAUAUGGAAAUAAUGGUUGAGGUCUUAUCCCCUAAUGUACGCCUUGCAUAGCACCUCUCUGCAGCAGGAAACCCGUCAGCCAUAUCUCCACUGUUAUCUGUCCAACUCUUGCUUGAUUCUGCAGGUCAGCCAGCCCCCAGGAGUUGAAGCACACUUCCGCCUUAAAAGUUGUACGCCACUACCUUUGAUAAUCAAGAUAGAACCUAAUUGAGCUCACCCAUGUAGAAGAUGCUCUCGCCUUUUUUCGCACACACACUUUUUGAGGAGACGGGGGCCUAUACUGUUUCAGCUCAUCCAACUGUGAGAUUCUCCUUUCCCCUCUCUAGUCCUCCCAUCAUCUCACUAAUGGUGUUUCUAUCUCUUCUCCAUAGGAGGUAAAUGAAGCUUUUAAGCAGGGUGGAGGGAAGGGGGAGCACUGCAAAGAUUAAUUGACUUUCUGCAGAGCUUCACUUAUCCUCCACUGGCACCUUUGACUUGUCAGUGGUCCAGUCAUGCUACAAAACAGCCAUUCCAGACUGGGGGGGCUUGUCAUCUGUAUCUACUCAUAUCCUACAAUCCCUUUUGCUCUGAGCACUACUGCACUUAAAUGUCAGGGUUGAUGAGCCUGCCACACCCACCUGACACAUCAGCUCAGCGCCUGCUAAAAGCUUUUAUGGAACAGAGUGUGAGCCUGGUGGUUGAUAUAAAUUAAAGUGUUCUUUGCUUCUUUUUGGGGGGUAUUAUGGCUCUAAAAAGACAACUUCUGGUAAGAAAUAACGAGAGAAAGUAAGAGCAUAGGCUAUGAUUGGUUGCCAUCUAGUGGCUUGCUGUCACAUUAUCAUGGAUAGAAAGAAAGUGACUCUCCCCGCCUAAAACUGUAUUAUGUUUCACACUAAUCAAAGACAAAGCAAAUAAUAUACAUUUCCUCCACCCUUCGUAGUUAUUAGUCAUAAUCUUAUAUUGAUUUUAAUGCAUGCAAUCUGACAUAAUAUUCAAAUGGAGUGUUUAUAUUAAAAUAAUAUAUAAUAAUAAAUCUGAAA